UAAUUUAGAACAGUAGUUUUCAAAAUGUGGUCUUCAGACCACUGACCAAACCAAAAGCAAAACAAAACAAAACGAAAACCCAUUGCCGUGGAGUCAGUUCUGACUCCUAGUGACCCUACAGGACAGAGUAGAAUUGCCCCAUAGGGUUUCCAAGGAGUGACUGGCAGAUUCAAACUGCAGGCCUUUUGGUUAGCAGCCAAGCUCUUAAUCACUAUGCCACCAGGGCUCCUCCAGACCACCAGCACGAGCAUUAUUUGGGAAUUAUGAUAAAUGCACAUUCCUGGGCCCCUAACCAGACCACCUUUAAUCAGAAACCAUGGGGCUGUGGCCCAGCUCUCUGUGUUUUAACCAGCCUUCCAGUUGAUACCAAAGUAUGCUACAGUUUGAGAACCAUGGGGUUGGAGGAAAAACCUUGUUCUGAGUUUUAUAUUUAAACCAGGGAUUUAGUCUUAAACCAGAUCUAUGGAUCUUUGCAUGUGUUGUGGCAAGAAAUAUGGACAAUCCAAUCAUCAUGAAUUAAGAAGAGUAAAUUACAAGCAACCUCAAAGAGGUAACUGUGAAUGGAUAAUUGCAUGCAAGGAUGAGCGAACACAGCUUACUGGGAAUUCCUGCUCUAAGCUGUUUGGGAAUAUUUCCAACCAGAAUUUUGCAGACCAUACGGGAAUAUUCUGCACAUUGAAAAAGGAUGCACAUUUGACGAGCAAUGAUGCCUUUACUCAUCAACAAACACAAUCUGUAGCUCCCAUAGCUCACAGCAGCCAGCUGUGGCUGGGCAGCCCCGCCGUCUAACCGUGGUGAGUGUGGCAGGGAGGGGAGGCGUGGCCGGAAGCCCCCCCCACCCACGGACUCAGCGUGUGUCAGUUUGCUGAUAGCACUCCCCCUCCCCGCUACUGUGUUGUAGUUCCUUUGAGAAAGAGGCUGUUUAAAAUGAGAGAUUGGCAGAAUUCAAAUGCCAAAAUGCCAUUUUUUUCUCCAAAAAAUGUUAUUGAGGCAGAUUUUCCCAGGAUUUAAGCUAUUCUUUGGCUGCAAAUGUACCUUUGGAAGUGGCACCGCAGGGGUCUCUGGGCACAGAAAGUAAACCAGCUGGAUAUACUUCGUACACCAAACAAACCAAGUCUGAAAAUCAUACUUUUGUAAAUCAAAUUACAUUUUAAAUUCAGCAGAGAAACUGCCGUUUAAAAGGAAUUUCCCCGCAGAACUUUUGCCAAGAAUGUAAUUAUUUCAUUAUUUCUUAUUAAAGAUUUCCGUACGUAAGAAAUCCCCACUUACACAGAACUUUUCUGGAUUUGGGGGAUUCUGGUUAUUUACGUCUUUGUUUCUUCUUUUUGGUUGACAAAGUCUUAACUAAAAAAAAAAAACUUAUUUUAGACUCUUUUUGAAAAUCGUUCUAAAAUGGUUAAAGUUGACUUUUAAAAAAUUAGUGGGCAGUGAAUAUAGUCAGGCCUUUCUUGGCGAUUAAAGAUUUUGUGGCAUGUUUAUAUCAGCUGAUUAGUGAUAGACACAGAAGAUUAAGUUGAAUUUGUUUGUUGUUGUUGUGUGCCAUCGAGUCGAUUCUGACUUAUAGCGACCCUAUAGGACACAUAGGACACAGUAGAACUUCCCCAUAGGGUUUCCAAGGAGCAGCUAGUGGAUUCAAACUGCCUACAUUUUGGUUAGCAGCCUGAAUGAGCUCUUAACCGCUUUUUGUACUGACCCUAAAUGGAUACACUGAAAAUUAGUUACUGGAAUAAAGACAUCCCUACUCCCUGGUUCUUUUCUUUUUCAAGUUUAUAUUUUACUUAACAUUCAGCAGAGAAAAAUAUUAGUUUACUUAGGUUUGCAUGGAAGGUCCUGCUUGAAUUUCAAUGGGUUUAACUAAUGAGAGCGUAUGUACCUUUAGAAAAAUCAACAGAUAGGUGAACUGAGUUAAAACAUCUUUGGGUUUAAUAUGCAAUCAUAGGCUCACUGGUAAAAAAAAAAAAUAGUUCUUUAAGUCAGGUGGCUUUCGUUUUAAUAUGUUGUUAAGAUUCAGUGAGAAGUAAGCCUCUUUAACAUGUGACUUUCGUCAUUUCUCUACGGGUGAACAGUUCAGAGCCUCUAUCACUAACCUACCCUGGGGUAAAUUUAAACUCUGUGAAGUUUAGUAUAUGCUUACUGUGACUAGUAAUGCUUUACUCUUGCUCCCAUUGAAGACACAAGAUAAACAAGAGACAGGCCCAGCCCUCAGAGAAUUCAGAGGCUAGGGUGGGAAAACAUCCUGGUGUUCUUGGGUGGGGCGGGGGUGACGGAGCCCAGCCAAGGGAGGCACGGAGGGUAAUCCUUAAACCUGUUCACAUGGUGGAGGGCUUCAAUGGCAAUGGGGACUAUUAUGGCACGCUAGUGUAUUUUAUUUUACCACAAAAACUGAAAUUGAUCUUAUAAGCAGAAAGUAUAAUGAUAUAACACACACACACACACACACACAUGUACAGUAAAAUCACAAACUCUGAACAUCCAGGCCCACAAAAAUAACUCCAGGCUAUUGAACUAAGCAGGGCUGACUGUUUCCCCAUUUUUCUGUGAAUGUUACUAUACUGCGUGUUAAUUCAUUUUGUCAUCUGUUAGCACUUGUCACCAGACAAGCCAUAACAGGUGCCAAAAGUUUAAGGAAAAUGAAGACUUGAGAAAAUUCUAUCCAUUAACUGAAAAAAAAAAAAAGUGAUUUGGGAAGUGAUGAUAAUUCCUUGAUUUCUGUAGCAGCUCAGAGAACCCCAGGGUGUGGUUGGAAGGGUGUGGGAACAUCUGGGGUGGAGAGAAAUGGACACUGAUGUCCCAGACAACUUACUGUCACUCCUAGCCCUGGACGCUUCUCCAGCAGGCACAUCUCUGCUGUUGGAUGGCAGGGGUGUGGUGGGUAGUAUUUCCUAUAGUGUAGAGAAUGUGCCUCGCUCAGCUUCGUACCUUCCCUAGGGGCGAAUAUUGCCUGAGAAAAUAGCUGCUCGGUAAGUAAUCAGCUGUUGAAUGGCACCUCAAGCUAGACUUGGUAAUAUAUAUACCUAUAAAAAUAAUGUUAUAAUGAUGAUGUUUAAAGGAAAUAGUGUUAAAAUAAUAAAUCAGAUACAAAUGGGUUAAAAUAGGUUUUGUGGCUUGGUCUUGGAAUUUUUCCCUCUAUUUACUGCAAUAGAUAUGUGGAGUGGUAUAUUCUUAUUUUAGUAAUUCAAUUAGCACAUAUUUAUUGUACGACUAUCAUAGCCCAGAGCCCUGGUGGUACAGUGGUUCAGUAUUCUGCUGCUAAUCAAAAGGUUGGCAGUUCAAAUCCACCAGCCGCUCCUUGUAAACUCUAUGGGGCAGUUUUACUCUGUCUUUCAGGGUCGUUAUGAGUUGGAAUCAACUUGACAGCAGUGGGUAUCAUAUGCCCAGUACUUGCUGGACACUCAGGUCUCAGCUUCCUCUUCUGUUAAAUGGAAUAAAAAGAGUUCGUAACCUCAUAGGGUUGUUUUUAUUUUAUUUAUUUAUUUUUUAUAAUUUUUAUUGUGCUUUAAGUGAAAAUUUACAAAUCAAGUCAGUCUCACACAAAAACUUUUAUACAUCUUACUACAUACUCCCAAUUACUCUUCCCCUAAUGAGACAGCCGGCUCUCUCCCUCCACUCUCUCUUUUCAUGUCCAUUUCGCCAGCUUCUAACCCCCUUUACUCUCUCAUCUCCCCCUCCAGGCAGGAGAUGCCAACAUAGUCUCAAGUGUCCACCUUAUCCAAGAAGCUUACUCCUCACCAGCAUCCCUCUCUAAUCCAUUGUCCAGUCCAAUCCAUGUCUGAUGAGUUGGCUUCGGGAAUGGUUCCUGUCCUGGGCCAAUAGGAGGUCUGGGGACCAUGACCACCGGGGUACUUCCAGUCUCAGUCAGACCAUUAAGUCUGGUCUUUUUAUGAUCAUAGGGUUGUUUUGAAGAUUUAAUGAGCUGUCCUAUGGAAAGAACUUUGAAAAGUGCCUGACACAUAGAAAGUGCUUACUAAAUAUUAGCCAUACAUCUUAGUAUUACCAUUCAGCAGUAUGACACAGGCAUGGUCCUUCCACACAUGAAAUUUAAACAAUGUUCUGGACCAGAACAUCUUGGUAUCUAGGACCUAACUGUCGUAUAUAGUUUCUUGGCGAUCUGGUCUUUAAGGGACCAGCUACUCUCCUUCAGUUGGGGCCAGACUACCCCAUGAGCAGUUGGUGUUUGUGUGGUUUGUCUGAGAGCCCUUUCUACUUUUCCCCUGGGACUGGGGGAUGACAGGGCAGGGAAGUGGUAGAGACCUGUCGGCUGCCUCUGGAAACUCUAACCCUGGCCUCGCAUCCUGGGCGUUUGCAACUCCCCUGCUGCAUGUUUACAACAGGGGAAGGACUGAGGCCCACAGACAUGACGCUGCAGGCUUGGCUUACCUAUUGUUGGAGGCUCUUAGCUUUGUGACCUGUGGGUCCCUCACUGUCUGGGUGAGUCUCAUAAAAGCAAGGCUUGAUAUAAAGACUUUCUGGAGGAAGCUGGCAAGAGGAAGAAGUUCGAUUUCGUCACUUCUCAACAUAUGUCAAAGUCUUACAGUUUAGCUUCCUCAAUUAUGAAGUUCCAGAAUUAUUUUGGGCAUUCUUAAGUAAACACACCAUCUUCUGAAGCUGUCAAAGAUUUGGGAUGAAAUUUUCACAUGCUCCCUGCUACUAAAAAAAAAAUUUUUUUUUUUUUAGCCCUGUAUAAUUCAAAUUAGUCCCAAAUGACUUGAAGGGUGAAAGAACUACACUUUCAUGUUGUUGAAAAUCUGGGUAAAAAUGAAGCUUAUUAAUGCUUGAGUAACACCUAGAUAUCCAGCUCUGACAAGUUUAAGAUGAACUGAGAUCAUGGUAGGUAGGAACUGUCUUUUUACAGAAUUCACUUAAUCAUUUAGAGGCCACUCUUGUCUUUUUUUUGUUGUGGUUGUUCAUGAUGAACCCUUCAGUUUUCAGGGGACCUCUGUUAUUUUGGUCGGGGUUUUCCUAAACGCCCAUUAUAGGUGUUAUCUCAUGGUAGAAUAAUUUCCAUCUACUUAGCAACCUCUGUUUCUGGUCCACAUGUUGCCAAUAAAGACACGGCCUUCCUAGGAAAUUAAAAAAAAAAAAAAAAGCAAAAAACCACUUUACCAAACGUAAAGAGAUUCAGCUCUCAAUUUUGGUAGAGUUUGCAGGAUAUCGUUUUGUUAAACUUUUAAAGUUUUCAUCUUAAAACUUGGACCCCAGGGUUUACCAACAGGAAACAUAUUUGUUCUGCCCUCUGUUGUCAGUUGUUGUUGUUGUGUGCCAUCAGUUCCAUUCUGACUCAUAGCAACCCUAUAGGACAGAGUAGAAGUGCUCUAUAGGGUUUCCUAGGCUGUAAUCUUUACCGGAGCAGAUCGCCAGGCCUUUUCUCCAGCAGAGUAGCUGAUGGGUUCCAACUUUCAACUUUCAACUUUUGAUUAGCAGCCAAGCACUUAAUCAUUGCACCACCAGUGCAACUUGUUGUCAAUUAAAGCUUCUUAAAAAGUGACUUAUCAAGACUGCUAUGAUAGGGAUUGCAGUAGAGGGUCCCAGAAAGAGCUGGAGAAAAAUGUAGUACAAAAAUCAAACACACACAGACACACACACACACAGACACACAGAGGCCAGAUUUACUGGUCUGACAGAGACUGGAGAAACCCCGAGAGUACAGCCCCUCGGACACCCUUUUAACUCAGUAAUGAAGUCACUCCUGGAGCCCUGGUGGCACGGUGGUUAAGAACUACAGCUGCUAACCAAAAAGUCAGCAGUUUGAAUCCACCAGCGGCUCCUUGGAAACCCUGUGGGGUAGUUCUACUCUGUUCUAUAGAGUUGUUAGGAGUUGGAAUUGACUUGAGAGCAAUGGGUUUGGUUUCUGGUGUUAAAAGUCACUCCUGAAUUUCACCCUUCAGUCAAAGAUUAGACAGGCCUGCAAACCAAGCAAUAAUACACAUAGCUUAACCAUGUUUAUGAGACUAAAUAGGCACACCAACCCAGGGGCAAGGACAAGAAGGCAGGAGGGGACAGGAAACCUGGACGAAUGGAAACGGGGAACCCAAGGUCGAGAAGGGGAAAGUGUUGACCCAUAGCGGGGUUAACAACCAAUGUCACAAAACAAUAUGUGUGUUAACUGUUUAAUGAGAAAAUAAUUUGCUCUAUAAACUUGCAUCUAAAGCACAAUUAAAAAAAAAAAGAAUUAAAAAAGAAGUGAUUGUCAUGAGGAAAGCUUAUGAAAGUAUAUAUCAAUAUUUUCUAAUGGGGAAUACUGGACUUCUUGAAGAACUUCUAAGGUCUUACUUUGGCACUAUCUUUAGAUAGUGAGUUUAGGUUUAACUGGUUCUGCAGUUAAAGAUGGGCCAUGAAACUGGUUUUCAUCAGCACAGAGAUGUGUUAAUGUCGUCAACACAAGAACUAAAUAAAGCAUUUAACUAUUUUGAAUAAUGGUAGGUGUGGGAGUAGCUAUAAAGAGUAUAAGGUGGAUUUGAGAUAUGUUUUCUUACUGUUAUUAGAUCUUUAAACCCUGGUCAUUAGCAUAGUGAUCUUUCAGAUUUAACAUAAGAUAGUGCUUAGACAUGCAAUGAGGAAAUGUAGGGGAAAAAGGGGGUAUUUAACUACUUAGGGUCUCAGCAGAAAGAAAAAUGGGAGUGUGGAGCACACUCGAGUGGAAUUUCACUUUUGUGGGUAGACUCAUCAUUUGAUGGAGACAGGCCAGCUAUAAUGGUGUCCCUGAGACAGUGAUCUUUGCACACCUUUGGGAAGUUCUUGAACUCUGUGAACCACUCAACCUAGCAGAAUAAGGAAAGAGUACUGCUGCCUCUAAUCAAGACUGAUGACCUUCAUUGAAGGACCGAAAUUUAACCUGUUCUGUAAUUAAAAGAUUGAGAAAGAGCUUGGGAGACUGUACUGUGCAAUGAGGAGUCCCUGGAUGGUACAGAUGGUUAAGCACUCAACUACUAACCAUAAAGAUUGGUGGUUCAAAUUCAACCAGAAGCACCUAGGAAGAAAGGCCUGGCAAUCUGUUUCUGAGAGGUUACAGACAAGAAAGAAAACCCUAUGGAGUGCAGUUCUACUCUGUAACACAUGGAGUCUCCAAGAGUCGGAAUCGACUUGAUGGCAACUUUUUUUUUACUUGCGCAAUGGAAUCAUUGUAGGCUUUGGGCCUGCCUCGUUCUAGUUCUAGCUGUAUGACAUCGGGUCAGUUGCUUAACUUCUUUGUCUCCGUUUUCCUCACUGUAGGAUGGGAAUACAUACAUAGGGUCGCUGUAAGACGAAAUGAGAAACACAUAAAGGGCUCAGUCAAGUGCCCUCAACACUCAAUGACUGUUGUAGUAUCCUUUUCAGUUUUACUGGCAUUUUGAGAAUAAGAACAAACAUGAAAUAGCAAUUUUAAGAGCAGGGAAGAAAAGUAUGUUUACUCUAUCAGGAGUAAAAACGAGAUGACUAACAGCAUCGUACCUAGAAUCCACUCAAGAUUUUGGUGAGUAUCCUUAGAGGAAAAUGCCUGUUAGUUUUACUUUCUUAAAAGACAGUUUCAUACACCAAAGUCAUUUUAUUUUCAAGAGUCUCAGGAAAUGAGGAAAUUAGAAAGGAAAUAGCACGUAAGUAUGACUAUCAUUAUAAAACAAGUGGCAGUCACGAGUGUGGAAAUGCCUUUUUAGCUUCUCUGUGUAGAUGAAGACUUUACGAGUACAAAGUGGAAAACUCAAUAUCAUUGCUAUUUAAUUCUUUGGCAUGAAGAAAGACAUUGUUAUAAUUAAGCCAUGAUUUUUCAAUGAUACUCUUUCUCUUUCUUAGUUUAAAGAAGGGGACUAGGUAAUGGCUAAGAAUACUAUGAUAUUUAUUUUUUAUUUUAACCCUAGCAUUUGCAAAGUGCUUUUAAAAUUUUUGGAAGCACUUUUGUGCUUUUUUAAAUAAAUUGACCCCUGAAAUAAUAUAGUAAGGUAGUCAGAGCAGGUAUGGUACUAUUUUUUACAUUCUGUAAAUAGGAAAUUGAGUCAAAGAAGGUUGAAUGAUACAGCUAGUGAGGGCUAAGGCUGCAAUUCAAUAAUCCUUAUGUUUAGAACUUAAAUUUGUUUACAUAUUUACAGUUUGAAACAGUUUAGCUUGAUUUACCCAACAAUUCUCUAAGGGAAAUCAAAUAUUUUUUUUGAUCUCCAUUUUACUCUUUAAUCUCAACCAUUGUCUCUUUUCACUAAAUCAUACUGCCUCAAUAUCAGAAAUAUGUACGAAUCACCUUACAUUUUUUUGAAAAAUUAUGUGUUAACCUUCAAACUUCUACUUUGUCAUAAACUUCUACUUGGUUAUAAGUUGGACUCAAUGGCAGAUAACGAAAACAACAAAUCUACAAACUAAUAUUAUGGAACCUAUAUACUAUUUCUGGAGACACUGGUGGCUUAGUGGCUAAGUGCUACAGCUGCUAACCAAGAGGUGGGCAGUUCAAAUCCGCCAGGCACUCCUUGGACACUAUACGGGGCAGUUCUACUCUGUCCUAUAGGGCCGCGAUGAGUUGGAAUCGACUCGACAGCAGUGGGUUUGGUUUUGGUUUGAUACACUAUUUCUAAUGAAUAAUUCUUACUGUCAAAUGGAAGCCAAACCCCAAAAGUGUCACAUUUACUGACUAGUUGAGUACACAAAACCAAACCCACUCUUCCAGUCGAUUCCGACUGAUAGCAACCCUAUAGGUCAGAGUAGAACUGCCCCGCAGGGUUUCCAAGGCUGUAAGUCUUUAUGGAAGCAGACUGCCACAUCUUUCUCCUUCGGAGUGGGAGUUAGAACUGCUGACCUUUCUGUUGGCAACCAAGUGUUUAACCACUGUGCCACCAGGGCUCUUUGACUAGUUGAGUAGAUAUUAUAAAAUUCAAUCACACAUUUGGGCGAAAACUAAAAACUUCAGUCCUCUGUACCUUUGUAAACAUCAGAUGAUUGAAGUAUAUUCAUUUUAAUUUUUCAUAUAGACAUGGUUUCAUGUGGAUAUGACCUAAGUGACAAAAGUUUGAAAACUGUCUCUGAGUGUCACAUCAUGUGUCUGUUGGCUUUGUAUGUUCUUAUAGCCUCAAAUUCCUUUGGAGGAAGCUGUCUUUCAUUCUUCAGAGUCUGGGCAUUCUUGGGACCUGUUGGAAGUCAAAUAAUCUGCUGGGUCCUUUUGGUAGCCCCUGGAGCCCUGGUAUAACUUUUAUAGCCUGAAGCACUUUGGGGUUGGUUACCUUGUAUUGUUAUUACUGUUCUUAUCUUUUUUAUGCACAUGCCUUGCUUUCCCAAUUAAACUGAGGAAUGAGGACAUAUUUUAUACCUUGUGUAUCUCUUUGAGUUUUUACAACUUUACUUCCAUAACCUACACAGAGGAGAUACUCAACACAAUGGUUACUCUUAUAAUAGUAACUAUAGGUUCCCCCUUGGAGAUUCUGAUAGUUACCUUUGAAUUUUGUUGUUUUAGAAGAAUAUUGAACAUACCAUGGACUGCCAGAAGAACAAAUCUGUCUUGGAAGAAGUAUAGCCAGAAUGUUCCUUAGAAGCCAGGAUGACGAGACUUGUCUCACGUACUUUGGACAUGUUAUUAGGAGGCACCAGUCCCUGGAGAAGGACAUCAUACUUGGUAAAGUAGAGGGUCAGCAAAAAAGAGGAUGGCCCUCAAUGAGAUGGAUUUACACAGUGGCUACAACAAUGGACUCAAACAUAGCAAUGAUUGUGAGGAUGGUGUAGGUCCAGGCAGUAUUUUGUUCUGUUGUACAUAGAGUUGCUAUGAGUUGGAACUAACCUGAAGGUACUUAAUGACAACAACAACAACCAUUCCCCACGGUGGGAGUGCUGGUUACUUUAGUAAGUUGACACAUCAGUGUACAUUGACAUGGCUGAGCUGGAAAAAAAAAGAAAAUUAAUUUAGAAAAAUCAAUUUAAGUUAAAAAUCAAAGAGCUUUUACCAUUCCUCUGCUUAAGAGUUCUGGUUAAAUUCAUUAAUAGCUUAGCCCUAACAGAAAUCAAUAAUGUAAGUUAGUUGAGUUUUUUUUUUUUUUUUUUCCCGUGUAUUUAGUUAGACAUUCUAGACAAGGAAAUAGAAACUUUAGCCAGAGUCAAGGUACAUUGUGUAACUGCAGUAUUUUUCAUUUGAAAGACAAGGGGAAGAGGAAUAUCUAUUUCCUCAAAGGACCAAGAAACAGUGAGGCCAAGAGAGCCACACAUACUUCAAGGACAGGGCCAUAAGAUUGCACUCAGAAGCCUAUGUAAAUAGGAUCUUAAUUACUUCUCAAAACAAGUCAUACUUGAAUUUGUAAUCACAUACAGGAAGUUGUUCAGCUCACAGCACUAUUUACCAUUACCUUCCACAGCAUAUUACUUCUACUUCUUCAUCCCCCUUUCCUCAUGCCCUUCUCUAAACUCUGGGUUUAUCUGCAUUGAAAAGGAAAGAGCAUCUUGACUUGAGUCAAUGAGUGGUACUUGGGAAGCUAGUCAUUCUGAGUAUAUCGACAGAGAAGUGACAGAAAUUCAGGCCAAUUUCAGAAGAGGACAUGGAACCAGGGAUAUCAUUGCUGAUGUCAGAUGGAUCCUGGCUGAAAGCAGACAAUACCAGAAGGAUGUUUACCUGUGUUUUAUUGACUAUGCAAAGGCAUUCAACUGUGUGGGUCAUAACAAACUAUGGAUGACAUUGAGAAGAAUGGGAAUCCCAGAACACUUAAUUGUGCUCAUGAGGAAGCUUUACAUAGAUCAAGAGGCAGUUGUUCAGACAGAACAAGGGGAUACUGACUGGUUUAAAGUCAGGUAAGCUGUGCGUCAGGGUUGUAUUCUUUCACCAUACCUAUUUAAUGUGUAUGCUGAACAAAUAAUAUGAGAAGCUGGACUAUAUGAAGAAGAACAGGGCAGCAGGAUUGGAGGAAGACUCAUUAACAACCUGUGUUAUGCAGAUGACACAAUGUUGCUUGCUGAAAGUGAAGAGGACCUGAAGCACUUAAUAAUGAAGAUCAAGGACCACAGCCUUCAGUAUGGACUGCACCUCAACAUAAAGAAAACAAAAAUCCUCACAACGGGACCAAUGAGCAACAUCAUGGUAAAUGGAGAAAAGAUUGAAGUUGUCAACGAUUUCAUUUUACUUGGAUCCACAAUCAACAGCCAUGGAAGCAGCAGUCAAGAAAUCAAAAGACGCAUUGCAUUGGGUAAAUCUGCUGCAAAGGACCUCUUCAAAGUGUUGAAGAGCAAAGGUGUCACCCUGAAGACUAAGGUGCACCUGACCCAAGCCGUGGUAUUUUCAGAUACAUCAUAUGCAUGUGAAAACUGGACAAUGAAUAAGGAAGGCCGAAGAAGAGUUGAUACUUUUGAAUUGUGGUGUUGGCGAAGAAUAUUGAAUAUACCACGGACUGCCAAAAGAACGAACAAACCUGUCUUGGAAGAAGUGCGACCAGAAUGCUCCUUAGAGGCAAGGAUGGCAAAACUGCGUCUUACAUAUUUUGGACAUGCUGUCAGGAGGAAUCAGUCCCUGGAGAAGGACAUCAUGCUUGGCAGAGUACAGGGUCAGCGGAAAAGAGGAAGACUCUCGAUGAGAUGGACUGACACAGUGGCUGCAACAAUGAGCUCAAGCAUAACAACGGUUGUAAGGAUGGCGCAGGAUUGAGCAGUGUUUCGUUCUGUUGUGCAUAGGGUCGCUAUGAGUCGGAACCGACUUGAUGGCACCUAACAACAACAGCAACAACGAUUUAUGAAGAUUACACAACUUUGAACAGUUUUAGUCAUUGAGAGGGUUGAGGUCAUAGUAAUUAGCAUCUAACUCAGUAGAACUUAGUUGUGAAUUGAAUGUGUGAUGUGUACGUGUGUGCGUGUAUGUGUGAGAGAGAGAUGACUCCCUUGUGUUCAGACUUUAGCACUGGUUGGAUGGUGAUGGUGAUAUUCUUUACCAAGACACUAAACUCUGGAGGGAAGUUGCUUGGGAGGUGAAGUGCAUGACUUCAGUUUGGUGCCUAUGCUGAGUUUGGAAUGUUCAGAGAUAACCAUUUGGAAACAACCUAGAAGUGAUGAAGAUACAGUUGAAAAUAUAGGUUUGGGAGAUCUCAUAAUCCUGGAAAUAAUGAAAUGGCCCAGAGAAAGUAUGCAAAGCAAGAAAGGACAUAUUUGUUGAGAAGCAACAGCAACAAUAAAAUAUGUUUAAAGCGUGGUCUACGAGUGUCAAAUAUUGAAAAAAAUCCAAAUGAAAAAAAUGACUAAAAAUUUAACCUGGAUUUAGUCGUAUAUAGACUUUGGUGAUCUUGGUGAGAGCAAUUUUGGUAGACUCAUGGGAGAGAAAAUGAGAUUACAGUGGAUAGUAGAGUAUGAGUGAGAAGUGAGGUACAAAGUGUGACUGUGAAGAGUGAAAGUAUAGUAGGGCACUAGAUAGAAGGGAAAUUAGGAAAGAGAACCCCCCCCGCCCCGGCCAUUUAAACAAGAUUUGAGCUUGUUUAAAUACUGACAGAAGGAGUAAGAAAAGAAAGCUGAAUAUAUGAGAGAGAGAGAGAGAGUUUAACUAUGUAUGAAUCAGUGCCCCUGAGAACACUGGGAUGGAAUUCAUGGUACAUGUUAAAGGAUUGACUUUAGAUAAAAAAGGAUAGAUAUUGUUAUUUUUACAGCAUGAGAAGCGAAAAAGAAAGUAAGAAAUGAAAGUAAAUUUGAUAGAAUUGAUAGCCAAGAAUUGAGAAGUUACCAUUUUUUUUUUUUUUUUCCAGUGGAGUAGGUGGAAAAGUUAUCUGAUGAAUGUGCAAGGUAAGUGUGGCUGUCAGAGAUCUGAGGGGAAGGGACAAGGCUUGAAGUAGUUGUGGAAAAUGGCAGUCCGGCUAUGAAAUUGUGGUAAGACAGCCAGGUUGGAGACUGGUGAUCAUGGUUUAUGGUAUCAAAUUGCCCAGUUGUUACUUUUCCCCGGCAGCAUGCAACACUGAACCAAACCUAGUAACUUGCACAGAAAAAACAAACAGUUGGGUUCAUCUAGGUUUAGGGUGUUGACAGGCAGAUGCUACGGAAAGGUAAUGGGGCAGGGAGAGUUCAGAAUAUUGGUAAAAUAGUAGUCAGAAUGUUCAGUCAUGAACUCUAAGCAGGAUAAUUAUGGAAGUGAAAACAGGAGGGGGUGUAGGGCAAGGAGCAAGUAGAAGAGGACUGGAGGCCCUAAUGAAGUCCAAGCACUCAUUUUAGAUAUAAUAUGCACAGAUAGGAAACCCUGGUGGUGUAGUGGUUAAGUGCUAUGGCUGCUAACCAAGAUGUCGGCAGUUCGAAUCCGCCAGGCACUCCUUGGAAACUCUAUGGGGCAGUUCUACUCUGUCCUAUAGGGUUGCUAUGAGUUGGAAUUGACUCGACGGCACUGGGUUUGGUUUGGUUUUGGUUUAUGCACUGACAGAUAUUCAGUUGAUUGUAUGGUUAUAUCGAUGACUAGUUCCUAGUUCAAACACCAAGACUCUCUGGACCCAAGCCCAUCUCUCCUUUCCUCCAUUGACAACACCUCUACUUCAACCGAAGGAGUCAGUUUAAUAAAUCAGAAUAUGUCACUCUAUCUCUGUAUCCCACCAUGUGUCUGUCAGUUUGUUGUAGUGUAGUGGUUUAUGUGUGGCUAUUUUUUAUUAUGCUAGAAGCUAUGGCUUCAGUAUUUCAGUGCUAGCAGGGCCAUCCAUGAUAGACAGGUUUUAGUGGAGCUUCCAGACUAAGACAGACUGGAAAGAAAGGCCUGGUGACCUACUUCUGAAAAUUAGCCAAUGAAAACGCUAUGGUUCAAAACAAAAUAUUGUCUGAUACAGUGCCAGAAGAUGAACACUGUAGGCUGGAAGGCACUCAAAAUAUACAGUGGCAACAACAAAGGACUCAAGCACACCAGUGAUCGUGAAGAUGGUGCAGGACAGGGCAACAUUUUGUUCCAUUGUACACGGAGUCCCCAUGAGUCAGAGUUAACUUGACAGCAACUAACAACAACCUAUGUAUCUCUUGUCAUAACAAUAUAUAUAAAAAAAAAUAUAACCUCCCUUAAUACCUAUUCCAUUCCUUUUUUUCUAUUCACUUUGUAGUCAUCUUUUAAAGCUCAGCUCUCACCUUACUCAUGAAGCUUCUAGCUGAGAGGAAGCAAGAAAAAAAAAAACAAAAAACUAAACUGAACUUAGCAUUCAUUGAAUACCUAUUAUAUGCUAGGAAAUAUACUUUUCAUACACAAUUCUAAUACAGUUUGGGCAUUGGCACUCUCUGUCUUACUUUUGAAUGUGUUGUCGAUGCUGUUGUUAGGUGCUGCUGAAUUGGUUCUGACUCAUAGCGACCCUUGUACAACAGUAUGAAACACUGCUCAGUCCUACACCAUGCUCACAAUCUUUGUUAUGCUUGAGUCCACUGUUGCAGCUACUGUGUCAAUCCAUCUCAUUGAGGGUCUUCCUCUUUUCAGCCAACCCUGUACUUUACCUGUGAUGUCCUUCUCCAGGGACUGAUCCCUCCAGACAACAUGUCCAAAGUAUGUAAGACGCAGUCUCACCAUUCUUGCUUCUAAGGAACAUUCUGGUUGUACUUCCAAGACAGAUCUGUUCAUUCUUUUGGCAGUCGUUGCUAUAUUCAAUAUUCUUUGCCAACAUCACAAUUCAAAGGCAUCAAUUCUUUGGUCUUCCUUAUUCAUUGCCCAGCUUUCGUGUGUACAUGAUGCAAUUGAAAAUGCCAUGGCUUGGGUAAGGGGCGCAGUAGUCUUUAAGGUGAAAUCUUUACUUUUAAACACUUUAAAGAGGUCCUUUGGAGCAGAUUUGCCCAAUGCAAUGGGUCUUUUGAUUUCCUAACUGCUGCUUCCAUGGCUGUUGAUUGUGGAUCCAAGUAAAAUGAAAUCCUUGACAACUUCAAUCUUUUCUCCAUUUUUCAUGAUGUUGCUUAUUGGUCCAGUUGUGAGGAUUUUUGUUUCCUUUACGUUGAGGUGUAAUCCAUACUGAAGGCUGUGGUCUUCGAUCUUCAUCAGUAAGUGCUUCAAGUCCUCUUCACUUUCAGCAAGCAAGGUUGUGUCAUCUGCAUAACAGAUGGUUGUUAAUGAAUCUUCCUCCAAUCCUGAUGCCCCAUUCUUCUUCAUAUAGUCCAGCUUCUUGGAUUAUUUGCUCAGCAUACAGAUUGAAUUGGUAUGGUGAAAGGAUACAACCUUGAGGCACACCUUUCCUGACUUUAAACCAUGCAGAAUCCCUUUGUACUGUCUGAACAACUGCUCCUUCAUCUAUGUACAGUUUCCUCAUGAGCACAAUUAAGUGUUCUGGAAUUCCCAUUCUUCAUAAUGUUAUCCAUAAUUUGUUAUGAUCCGUGCAGUUGAAUGCCUUUGCAUAGUCAAUAAAACAGGUAAAUAUCCUUCUGGUGUUCUCUGCUUUCAGCCAGGAUCCAUCUGACAUCAGCAAUGAUAUCCCUGGUUCCACAUCCUCUUCUGAAUUUGGCCAGAAUUUCUGGCAGUUCUCUGUCGGUAUACUGCUGCAGCCACUUUUGAAUGAUUUUCAGCAAAAUUUUGCUUGCAUGUGAUAUUAAUGACAUUGAUAAUUUCCACAUUCAGUUGGAUCACCUUUCUUGCGAAUAGGCAUAAGUAUAGAUCUCUUUCAGUCAGUUGGCCAGGUAGCUGUCUCCCAAAUUUCUUGGCAUAGAUGAGUUGAGCACUUAGAGCACUGCAUCUGUUUGUUGAAACAUCUCAAUUGAUAUUCCAUCAUUUCCUGGAACCUUGUUUUUCGCCAAUGCCUUCAGUGCAACUUGGACUUCUUCUUUGGGUACCAUUGAUUGCUGGUCAUAUGUUAGUUCCUGAAAUGGUUGAAUGUUGACCAAUUAUUUUUGGUAAAGUGACUCUGUGUAUUCCUUCCAUCUUCUUUUGAUGCUUCCUGGGUCGUUUAAUAUUUUCCCCACAGAAUCUUUCACUAUUGCAACUUGAGGCUUGAAUUUUUUCUUCAGUUCUUUCAGCUUGAGAAAUGCCGAGCAUGUUCUUCCGUUUUGGUUUUCCAUCUCUAGGUCUUUGCACAUGUCAUUAUAAUACUUACUUUGUCUUCUCGAGAGGCCCUUUGAAAUCUUCUGUUCAGUUCUUUUCCUUCAUUAUUUCUUCCUUUUGCUUUAGCUGCUUGACGUUCAAGAGCAAGUUUCAGACUCUCUUCUGACAUCUAUUUUGGUCUUUUCUUUCUUUCCUCUCUUUUUAAUGACCUCUUUUUUUUUUCAUGUAUGAUGUUCUUGAUGUCAUUCCACAACUCGUCUGGUCUUCGGACAUUAGUGUUCAAUGCAUCAAAUCUAUUCUUGAGAUGGUCUCUAAAUUCAGGUGGGAUAUACUCAGGGUUGUACUUUGGCUCUUGUGGACUUGUUCUAAUUUUCUUCAGUUUCAGCUUGAACUUGCAUAUGAGCAAUUGAUGAUCUGUUCUGGUCUUGUUCUGACUGAUGAUAUUGAGCUUUUCCAUCCUCUCUUUCCAUAGAUGAUGAAGUCCAUGUGUAUAAUCACCGUUUAUGUUGGUGAAAAAAGGUAUUUGCAAUGCAUAAGUCGUUGGUCUUGCAAAAUUCUAUCAUGCAGUCUCCAACAUCAUUUCUAUCACUACGGCCAUAUUUUCCAGCUACUGACCCUUCUUCUUCAUUUCCAACUUUCACAUUCGCAUCACCAGUAAUUAUCAAUGUAUCCUGUUUGCAUGUUCGCUCAAUUUCAGACUGCAGAAGCUGGUAAAAAUCUUCAGUUUCUUCCUCUUUGGCCUUAGUGGUUGAUGCAUAAAUUUGAAUAAUAGUUGUAUUAACUGGUCUUCCUUGUAGGUGUAAGGAUAUUAUCCUAUCAUUAACAGGGUUGUACUUCAGGAUAGAUCUUGAAAUGUUCUUUUUUGACAAUGAAUGCAAUGCCAUUCCUCUUCAAGUUGUCAUUCCCGGCAUAGCAGACUAUAUGAUUGUCUGAUCCAAAAUGGCUAAUACCAGUCCAUUUCAGCUCACUAAUGCCUAGGAUAUCGAUGUUUAUGCAUUCCAUUUCAUUUUGACGAUUUCCAAUUUUCCUAGAUUUAUACUUAGUACAUUCCAGGUUCCAAUUAUUAAUGGAUGUUUGCAGCUGUUUCUUCUCAUUUUGAGUCAUGCCACAUCAGCAAAUGAAGGUCCCCCAAACUUGACUCAAUCCAUAUAACUAAGUUCGACUGCACUUUGAGGAGGCUGCUCUUCCUGUCGUCUUUUGAAUGUCUUCCAACCUGAGGGGCUCAUCUUCCAGCACAUAUUAGACAAUGUUUCGCUGCUAUUCAUAAGCUUUUCACUGGCUAAUUCUUUUCAGAAGUAGACUCCUUCUUCCUAGCAUGUCUUAGUCUGGAAGCUUAGCUGAAGCCUGUCUGCCAUGGGUGACCCUGCAGGUAUCUGAAUACUGGUGGCAUAGCUUCUAGCAUCACAGCAACACGCAAGCCCCCACAGUAUGACAAGCUAACAGACACGUGGCGGAAUGUGAGUAGCCUUUAUUUUCUUUAGCACUAUAUGGCAUUCUUUUAUGUCUACCUGUACGGAGAGAUUUUUGUGUGUGUGCGCAUGUCUUAAUCUCAUACUUGAUAGUGAUUUCUUUAAUGGUUUAAUUAUGUAUUUUCCAGAAUGGAUUGGACAUGAAACCAAAAAAAAUCUCAAACUCACCUCCAGCGAGUCAUUCUGACUCAUAGCAACUCUAUAGGACAGAGUGGAACUGCCCCCACAGGGUUUCCAAGGCUGAAAUCUUUACAGAAGCAGACUGCCACAUCUUUCUCCUGUGGUGCAGCUGGUGGGUUUGAACCGCCGACCUUUUGGUUAGCAGACAAGUGCUUUAAUCAUUGUACUACCAGAGCUCCUGGUCUGGAUAUGGUAGGCAUAAAUCCUUGAGAAUGAAGUUAAAAAUACAGAUAGUAAACUAAGGAGGAUAGAAAAAGGAAAAGUGAAUGUCAAUCAUCAUCUUUGUAAAUUCAUGAGUAUGUACCAUGGAUUUGGAAAAAUUGAGAAAUAGUGCCCUAGUGGUCCAAAAUAAUUAGCACAUCUAAAAGUGAGUAGUUUACUAAUCCCUCAGUAGAGUCAGGUCUGAUAUAUUUUUUAUGGGAUGUCUUAUAGCUGGUGACUACUUCAUUUGGAAAACAAAUAUGAUGCAAUAUUAUAAUGGAUAGAGGCACAGAUUUCUUUUUGUCACUUGUGUUUCCAUAUAUUUAUGUAUAUUGAUGAAUCACAAAAUAUAAAAAGCAUUUAAUUUCAUCGUUAAAAAUCAAUAGUGUAUAAUUAAGGUAGUUUUACAAUAAAAGUUUAUUAUUGUUUAGGAAAAACUGGAAUUUAAAUUAAAGCAAGUUAAAAUUUCUUUAAGAGACUCGAUCUCAAACAACAAAGGAUCAGGAUUUAUACCCUGGGUAGGAAUGCCAAUAGUUCAAAUUUCAGUUUAAGGCAGCAGCGGAGCAAUUUGUUGGAGUUAAAGCACUGAAGUUGGCUCAUUAAAGAAAUUUUGUAGCAUCUCUUUGAGAAACAGGUAUGAAAUUUUCUUUAAUGAACCACCAAAACUUUCUUACCUUCCUUUUCCAAAUUCUCCUACUUCUCCAUUUGGAGGAGACUUAUAUUUAUGUUCAUAAACUAAACUUCAUUUAAAGGCUUUGCCGGCAUGAUGUUCAUUUCAUAGACAAAUUAAUUCAAGCACAGACAAGUUAUACAUAUUUGAGCUUCUGCAAGAAGUUUUUGCCGGAACCAGCAACAGAACGGGAGUUUCCUACGUGCAAAUGAGGCAGGAGAUGCCAACAUAGUCUCAAGUGUCCAGCUGAUCCAAGAAGCUCACUCUUCACCAGCAUCCCUCUUCAACCCAUUGCCCAGUCCAAUCCAUAUGUGAAGAGUUGGCUUCGGGAAUGGUUCCUGUCCUGGGCCAACAGAAGGCCUGGGGGCCAUGACCACUGGGGUCCUUCUAGUCUCAGUCAGACCAUUAAGUCUGGUUUUAUGAGAAUUUGGGGUCUGCAUCCCAUUGCUCUCCUGCUCCCUCAGGGGUUCUCUGUUGUGUUCCCUGUCGGGGCAGUCAUCGGUUGUAGCUGGGCACCAUCUAGUUCUUCUGGUCUCAGGCUGAUGUAGUCUCUGGUUCAUGUGGCCCUUUCUGUCUCUUGGGCUCGUAAUCACCUUGUGUCCUUGGUGUUCUUCAUUCUCCUUUGCUCCAGGUGAGUUGAGACCAAUUGAUGCAUAUUAGAUGGCUGCUUGCUAGCGUUUAAGACCCCAGACGCCAUUCUUCAAAGUGGGAUGCAGAAUGUUUUGCUAAUAGAUUUUGUUAUGCCAGUUGACUUAGGUGACCCCUGAAACCAUGGUCCCCAGACCCCUGCCCCUGCUAUGUUGGCCUUCGAAUCAUUCAGUUUAUUCAGGAAACUUCUUUGCUUUUGGUUUAGUCCAAUUGUGCUGACCUCACCUGUAUUGUGUGCUGUCUUUCCCUUCAC